UGGGGGAUAUUGCACAAUGGGCGAAAGCCUGAUGCAGCGACGCCGCGUGGGGGAUGAAGGCCUUCGGGUUGUAAACUUCUUUUGCUCUGAACAAGGCAUGCCUUUGGGGUGUGUUGAGUGUAGGGGUUGAUUAGCGCCGGCUAACUACGUGCCAGCAGCCGCGGUAAUACGUAGGGCGCGAGCGUUGUCCGGAAUUAUUGGGCGUAAAGGGCUUGUAGGUGGCUGGUUGCGUCUGUCGUGAAAGCUCAUGGCUUAACUGUGGGUUUGCGGUGGGUACGGGCUGGCUUGAGUGCAGUAGGGGGGGCUGGAAUUCCUGGUGUAGCGGUGGAAUGCGCAGAUAUCAGGAGGAAUACCGGUGGCGAAGGCGGGUCUCUGGGCUGUUACUGACGCUGAGGAGCGAAAGCGUGGGGAGCGAACAGG
rnacentral:rRNA from 1 species